rnacentral:rRNA from 1 species
UACGUAGGGGGCAAGCGUUGUCCGGAAUCAUUGGGCGUAAAGAGCGCGUAGGCGGUCCGAUAAGUCGGCUGUGAAAGUCAAGGGCUCAACCCUUGAAAGCCGGCCGAUACUGUCGGACUAGAGUCCGGAAGAGGCGAGUGGAAUUCCCGGUGUAGCGGUGAAAUGCGCAGAUAUCAGGAGGAACACCAAUUGCGAAGGCAGCUCGCUGGGACGUUACUGACGCUGAGACGCGAAAGCGUGGGGAGCAAACAGG